rnacentral:rRNA from 1 species
GACGAACGCUGGCGGCGUGCUUAACACAUGCAAGUCGAACGGAAAGGCCCUGCUUUUGUGGGGUGCUCGAGUGGCGAACGGGUGAGUAACACGUGAGUAACCUGCCCUUGACUUUGGGAUAACUUCAGGAAACUGGGGCUAAUACCGGAUAGGAGCUCCUGCUGCAUGGUGGGGGUUGGAAAGUUUCGGCGGUUGGGGAUGGACUCGCGGCUUAUCAGCUUGGUGGUGGGGUAGUGGCUUACCAAGGCUUCGAGGGGUAGCCGGCCUGAGGGGGUGACCGGCCACAUUGGGACUGAGAUACGGCCCAGACUCCUACGGGAGGCAGCAGUGGGGAAUAUUGCACAAUGGGCGGAAGCCUGAUGCAGCAACGCCGCGUGCGGGAUGACGGCCUUCGGGUUGUAAACCGCUUUCGCCUGUGACGAAGCGUGAGUGACGGUAAUGGGUAAAGAAGCACCGGCUAACUACGUG